ensembl:antisense Notumos notum pectinacetylesterase homolog (Drosophila), opposite strand
AGCCCGCCCCGCAUGAGAUCCGCGUUAACCCUGGUGCUGAUAACUAUGGAAGAAGUGAACUCUCGAGCACGCAGUGGCACUUGAAUAAGGAGAAAUUUGCCAGGGCUAAAGACCCAGAAAACUGUAGUAGUAAGGAGCGCAGCAAGGAGAUGCAGGAGCCACCGAGGCAGUGUUACAGCUUUUCCUAUCAAGGCGCAGACUAACAUUGAUCAACUGAGUGCGUGGGCACCCAGAGACCCUUCUGACCUCCAGCUUCACCUGUGUCCUCUAUCUACUUCAAAGUUGGGGGUAUGUGUGAAUGCUGUCCCUGGAGCCCUUGGUCCCUCUUGUGCCCCUUCCUUGCUCCCAUGCUCGAAUUCCUGACUGUCCUGAGCCAAUCUGCUAUGCACAGGGGGGAACCCUGAGACAGAAACCUCCUGUAAAGUGUUGCCUCUUUCUACGGGAGAUAUGGCCACUCUGCGACUGCAGUCUCUUUUUCUGUCCCAGAACCUGAACUUUCAAAGGCGGGUGCACGGUGGCCAAGAGGUCAGCACCCGAGUUGGCCUAGGAUCAGAGCUUCAAGAGCUGCCCCCUCCCCCGCUUUGGGAGGCUCCAAGCCAGGCUCUCUCCAGGGCUAGCAACACUAGACGCCUGAGUGGAACCCUUUCCUCUAGGGACCAGAUCAGCCAUUGAAAAUAGGACAGGUCCAGUACAGUCUCCGCGUUUGUACGCGCGCGGGGAGGCAGAGGAUGCGAGCGCCACCAGCGAUAGGAUGACGGCGAGCCAGGCGCGGAGCACCGGUGGGGCCAGCCAAGCCAGGUUGACGGCCUCCCGGGGUCCUGCCCCGCGCUGGCCUUACCCGGCGGGGCUGCCGUCAUUGCAGGUCACCGACGUGUUCAGCAGGAGGUGAAGGCGCAGGUCCUCAUUGAGCUGCUGCGCAGAGCAGGGAUACAGGGACUGUGCCAGGCUCUUGACUUGCGCCAUAAAGCUGUCCAUGUUGCCCUCCACUGCCGUGAAGUCCAGCGGGAAGCUCUCCACCGGCUGCCCGGCGCCCGGCUCCACCUCAGCCCGCUGCGGGAGCGGCGGCGGGGGCGGCGGCUGGGGUGGCUGCUGGCCACGGCGCCUCCAGGUCUUCCUGCCCUCGCUGCCCCCAACCCAAUGCAGCAGGCCCAGCAGUAGCAGCACGCGCACCUCUCCUCCCAUGGCAAUGUCACUCCGGCCUGUGGCCACCUGCGGAGAGCGGACGGCCGUGAGGCGUCAGCAGCGCGGGGCGCCGGGCCAGGGGGCGCGCAAGACACUGCUGCUCCUCGGCUCGGGCUCCCGUGCGUUGUCCCUGCCCCGGGCGGCAGUGUGGGCUCUCGGCGUCGAGGCUCUGGAGUCGGGCGCUACCGGCCUCCGCAGCUCGGGCUCCGCGCGUAGCCGGCCGAGGGCAAUGCAGACUCUGGGUGCGCUGGCUCGGGCCCGCGCCAAUGAGCGGCGGGAGCCGAGCUGGGCGUAGUUUGCGGGGGCCGCGGCAGCCCGGGUGCCCGCGCGUUAGAAGUGCCGCCGCCGCCCGGGCGCGGCAGGGGGAGGGGGCUGCGCUCACUCUUUUCUUGGCGGAGGCUUAGCCUUUUCUUCCCAAACCACAAGUCUGACGGAGGGGCCUGGACUAACCCGUUGCAACCGCCGGAGGCGCUCCCGGCCCGGCUCCGUGGGGGGCAGCGCGGCCGGGCUGGCCCCGGGCAACUCCAUUCUCCGCGGCCAGCUCGGCGCCGCUACCCCCGCCCUCGGAGCGCCUCGGGGGCGGGGAGGAAGAGGCCUUUCCGCAUCGGGGGCGCCCUGCGGGUUGCGCAGCUGCCCGGCCCGACGGGUCAGGGCGCAGGAUGCGAACGUUCACCUAGUGCCGCUGGGGCCUUCCCUCCCGCGCCCCUGCCCCGUGCAUUCGUGGGAGACUCGCACUUGGGCCCCCUUCGCAUACUUGGAACCGCCCGGAGUCCUGCGCUCACCGUAGGUCCUGGAAGUCGCUGGAGCUGCGCUAUCCCGCUGGUGCGCCCGACUGCGCUGCGCUCCCUCUCUGGCGCUGGCGUAGAGCCGCCAGAGACUUUUAUCCAGCGGGGCCCCCGGGAUCAAAGCGGCGGCGGACACAGGGCUCCGCGCCGAGGGGCCGGUAGUAGCGGUGCAGGGGGGGCCUCUGCGAGGAGCGGACAGGUGGGGCCCAAGGCCGGGCUUUCGGGGUCGACCUGCAGGAAGGAUCGAGCGUGUGACUUCAACCCGCUGUAGAGUCUCCCUAUCUGGUGCCGCAGUUGUUAGGAGACAUGUAGGUCAGAGACCGUACUGCUACUUAACAAGGUUGGUAGGCUUUGGUGUAAAGUCCCUUGCUGCUGCACUCCAUGAAGAAGAUCACUAAGAACCUCUCCCUGCCCCAGACGCCACUGGAGGAGAAGAGAUAGAAGAUCAGAGAAGUUGCGGUCUUGGAGACCCCCUUCCAUCUGCCAAGUCAUCUCACCUAAUGUAACUACCUCCUCUACACAUCCCCAGGCUCUGGUGACCAGCGAGAAUGAAAUUCCUGACAGAAAUCAAAACUGGGAGCCAACUUUGGCAUGCACAAAACUCACAGACAAGGAGACUGCGGCAAGUUUUAGGCCAGCCAUGGCUACACAGUGGACUUCUAAAGUUAAAUAAAUGAAUAAAUAAUUUAAUU